rnacentral:ribozyme from 1 species
UGCGCAGCAACUCCUAUCCCUACCUCCUCGCGGUACUGGCCGGGGUACGAGUAACCUUGGGGAAGAUCGGGUAACCAACCCCCGGUGGGAACUUUGGUCGUAUGCUGACAGGGAAGG